AUAAGAUGAGAGUUUGAUCCUGGCUCAGGACGAACGCUGGCGGCAUGCCUAAUACAUGCAAGUCGAACGAGCUUCCGUUGAAUGACGUGCUUGCACUGAUUUUAACAAUGAAGCGAGUGGCGAACUGGUGAGUAACACGUGGGAAAUCUGCCCAGAAGCAGGGGAUAACACUUGGAAACAGGUGCUAAUACCGUAUAACAACAAAAUCCGCAUGGAUUUUGUUUGAAAGGUGGCUUCGGCUAUCACUUCUGGAUGAUCCCGCGGCGUAUUAGUUAGUUGGUGAGGUAAAGGCCCACCAAGACA
rnacentral:rRNA from 1 species